UACGGGGGGGGUAAGCGUUGUUCGGAAUUACUGGGCGUAAAGGGCUCGUAGGCGGCCAACUAAGUCAGACGUGAAAUCCCUCAGCUUAACUGGGGAACUGCGUUUGAUACUGUCGAGCUAGAGUGUGGAAGGGGCGAUUGGAAUUCCGUGUGUAGCGGUGAAAUGCGUAGAUAUACGGAGGAACACCAGAGGCGAAGGCGGAUCGCUGGGCCAACACUGACGCUGAGACGCGAAAGCUAGGGGAGCAAACGGG
rnacentral:rRNA from 1 species